AAAAAAGUGAAACUAAGGCAGACAGCUGUAAGAGUUACUGAAUUACUUAUUACACAGGUUUAGCUACACUGGAAAUCAGUUUGUCAUACACUUUUAUAUUACAACUGUCAUGCACCUUUUAUUGGGAGAGUUUAUCACUUUAAUUAUAUUUUCAGGUGAUUAUCUGUCUCUCUUAGUAGAUUCUUAAGUUGCAUGAGGGCAGAGACCCUAUAUGUUUUUGUCCAUGUUUACCUUUUUAGUUUCUAGCAUGAUGCUUGCAUAUGCAGGCAAUUGGCCCAAUUUUAU
rnacentral:lncRNA from 1 species